UUAAAUUUUGAUUUGGGAUUGAUUAUGAUGAACUGUACAGUUUUAUAUUUAUGAAAUAAUUUUGAUUUUGUAUGCGUUUUUGUGAUAUUUUAUUUUUAUGUAUUGAUUUAGAUCAUUGUGUGUGCAGAUCUAGUGUUUGGAGGAGAUCUAGUUUCUGAGGAUAUUCAUAGUCAACUCACGAUGAGAAACAACACAAGAACCCUCAUAAGCAGAAGAGGAUGUUUCUUUGGGAUCUCUCAUGGUGUAAAUAGAUUUUAGGAGUUUUGGCAUAUUUCCAGGCCCUGCAUUCAUGGCAGCAACUUUAAUUGUUGUUUUCCAGCAUUUAUCUUGUUCAGGAAGAUAAAAAGAAACUUCAAUAGAGAUGAAUUUAUUUGCAAAACAAGCAUUAGAGUUGGGCAAUUUGUUAUGCUCCUGGAUUUAAUGUUGUGAAUUGGACAAUUUGUUAUUUUACAAUGUUUAGGUGAAGUAUGUG